AUUGAACGCUGGCGGCAUGCCUUACACAUGCAAGUCGAGCGCGAAAGGGGGCAACCCCGAGUAGAGCGGCGGACGGGUGAGUAACGCAUCGGAACGUGCCCAGUAGUGGGGGACAACCUCGAGAAAUCGAGGCUAAUACCGCAUACGACCCACGGGUGAAAGCGGGGGACCGCAAGGCCUCGCGCUAUUGGAGCGGCCGAUGUCCGAUUAGCUAGUUGGCGGGGUAAGAGCCCCACCAAGGCGACGAUCGGUAGCUGGUCUGAGAGGACGACCAGCCACACUGGGACUGAGACACGGCCCAGACUCCUACGGGAGGCAGCAGUGGGGAAUUUUGGACAAAUGGGGGCAACCCUGAUCCAGCCAUGCCGCGUGCGGGAAGAA
rnacentral:rRNA from 1 species